rnacentral:rRNA from 1 species
UACAGAGGUCUCAAGCGUUGUUCGGAUUCAUUGGGCGUAAAGGGCUCGUAGGCGGCCAACUAAGUCAGACGUGAAAUCCCUCGGCUUAACCGGGGAACUGCGUCUGAUACUGGAUGGCUUGAGUUCGGGAGAGGGAUGCGGAAUUCCAGGUGUAGCGGUGAAAUGCGUAGAUAUCUGGAGGAACACCGGUGGCGAAGGCGGCAUCCUGGACCGAUACUGACGCUGAGGAGCGAAAGCCAGGGGAGCAAACGGG